rnacentral:lncRNA from 10 species
GGGGGGGUGGAAACGCGACAGGUUCAUGAAUUAUCCAUCAAGGUAGGAGAGGAGGUGUGGGUUCUUCAGAUGCUGGGACCCCGUUUCUCUUCCCUCUGGAUGUUGAAUAAGCUGAUGUAGGAAAUUACCAUUAUUUUUUCUGAUACCCCCAAGAAUGUCUCAAUGCUUUGAAUAUGCGGGAAAGGACUAGGACGUAUCCUUGUUUUUCGGAGGUCCCUACUUAGGUCCAGUUAGAAACUCUCCCAGCCAUCAAAAUCUGUCUCUCUGACACAUCCCUUACUUUACUUUGGUCUUUUCUUGUUGCCCAUACCCACAUCUCUAUCCCCUUACCCUGUUUUACUUAAAUAUAGCACUUAUUACUGCCU